UCGGGCAUGGCAAGGACAGUUAUAACAACUUUAAGUUCUUAUUUAAUUAAUAAGCUGAACUGUUAAUGCUUUUUUUUCAUAUAAUGUUCAUUAUUUAAAGCUGGAUUGGAGUCCUAACUUGGCAUUCAGGUGAUCCACCGUCUAAAAUACUCCCUGUGUACUUCAUGUUAUCUACUUAACUUAAACCGACUUUUAUCUUUGCUUUAUUGAUUAAGCAUAUGCCCGAAUAAACUAAUGGCAAACUCAGGUGCAUUCAUCUGGUGUUAUCUUGCCGUACAUUCCAUAUGACAUAUGUUUUAGCUACUUUGCCUACUGGACUUGGAACCUUUCAAUCAAAUUGAGUUGUAUCUUUGAUAGUGGUACGGUCAGGCACUGAUUGCUAUCGGACUCUGGACCUAAGCUAGAUGGGCGUUAUUUGUUCACCUCUUUAAUAUAGCCUACCAGCAGUAAGAGAUACUAAACUGUAUGAGUGAAAUUAAACUUUAAGGGAUCUAAAGCUGCUUUGUUUGCAAAACUCAUUCAGUAAAAUGGCAACCUUUUCACAAUCCACCAUUGAGAAGGGAUCUGACAUGGUCCAAGACUUCGUAUGUUCGACCUGCGAAGACAAGAAACAGGUUAAAAUGGCUGAUUUCUACUGUGAAUCUUGUGUCCAAUUUUACUGCGGAACAUGUAUUGGCAUGCACAGUCAGUUGUUUACAAAACAUGCCCCCUAUGGAAGGGGAGAUAUGAAGAAAUGGCCAGUGUCUGAGAAGGUGGAAGAUUUUCUUCUAAAAUGUGAUGUCCAUAAAGAAGAAAACCUGAAAAUGUUUUGUGAUGAACACAGUGAGCUGUGCUGCACACAUUGCGCAUUCAUUAAUCACAGACUCUGCCAAAAGGUAACUUUCAUAUCCGACAUCGUAAAAAGUCAGUCUACAGACCUUCACCAACUGUCAGUUUCUAUCCAAACUAUUCUGAAAGAAAUGAAGGAACUUCAAGACAAUCAAGAGGCUAGCAUUCAGGCUGUGCAAAGUUCAUAUGAUCAGCAGUUACACACAAUACACAAAACUCGGCAAGAAAUAAUUGCAGCCUUAGACACGAUUGAACAGAACACAAUAACGGAAAUGAAAGAUACUCUAACCAAACUGCAAGCCGCUUUCAAAAGCGAUGUUGACAAAUGCAUCAGGCUGCGGGAUGAAUUGAAACAACUUCGAGACGCCAUACAGGACAUUGGUGAUAAAAGCAAGCUGGAACUAUCCUUUAUAGCCACAAGGAAAUGCAAGGAGAAAAUGCAACAGUCUGAAGCCUAUCUGAAGAAGAACUCUCUUCAGGUAAAAGUUGCAAUAACAUUCCAGCCUAACAGUGACAUUGUACAGUAUUUGUCCAAACUGUCAGGUCUCGGAACGAUUGAACACAGUACCAAGACAUUGAUGGUACAAGAUAAUCCAAACAAGAAAAUCAUUGUGCACGGGCAGUCUGUACACAAUGUAAAAUUAUCAAAAGAUUCAGAGGAAUGCUGUAUCAUAGCAACCCUUGUUUGCCCUGACAGACAGAUCCUGGUUGUAGACAACAAUAAUAAAAAUGUUAAGCUGCUUAACCAGCAGUACCAGGUUGUCAGUCAUUGGAGUGCAACUGCCUUUCCAAGGGACAUUUGCGCGAUCACACCCGUUGAGGUGGCUGUGACUCUGGGUGAUGAAAACACACAUGAGGUCCAGUUUAUAACAGUCAACAAAAGACAGCUGGUGACUGGAAGAAAGUUUCAGUUAAAACAUACAUGUAGAGGUAUUGCCUGUCACCAGGGAGACCUUUAUAUUACUGCUGAUAAUUCACUAUACAAGUACACAGUGAGUGGGAAACAAGUCAGAAAGAUGUAUGAGGAUGCAUCAAGCCCGCAUACAGUAGAGAAGUGUGCAGUGAGUCCCACAGGGGACAAGCUGUACAUCACUGACUACUCCCAGAACAAGCUCCUCACCCUGGCCAGGGAUGGUUCAGUCCUGGCCACCUUCACUGACCACGCACUGUUAGAGCCAUGUGAUGUACAUGUUACACCUGCAGGACAAGUGCUGGUCUGUGGAAUGGGGUCUCACACUAUCCUACAAGUGGAUAGUGAGGGCAGAAGGAAGCUGGCAACACUUGCUACAAAGGAGGAUGGAGUGUUGUGGCCAUGGGCUGUCUGCUACAGCAGGCAUACUGCGUCCAUUAUUGUGGGACUUAAUGCCAACAACAGCAUCCUGGUGUUCAAAGUACAAUAGCGUAAUUCUACGUGUAUCUUGAUUUAUGAUUCAGAUCAACAGGAAGUUCUUAUAUCAGUCGAUGAUUGGAGCAUGAUGAAUUCAGUGGAAACCCGAAGACUCGAACUUGCUUGGCUCGAAUUUCCGGUUGGCUCGAACUCUCACCGAAUCACCGAUUUUGUAUUGCUCUAUAUUCAUUUAUUAUAUGGUAUUUGUUUGAAUGUAUGUGUAAUUUUUUAAAAAUUUUGAUGAACGAAAGUAUUAAGUAUUUAUUUGGGUCUUAUUAAUUCAAUAGCAGAAGUAGUACGGAGUUCCGGUAGAAUGAAUACUCGCCAACUGGUGAUGUAAAUCUAAUGCAGAUUCAUGUAGGUAAACAUAAGAAUAUUAGAAAUCGGUUGGCUCGAAUUACAGAAGGCUCAAACUUUUGCUUCCAGUCCUGGCGAGUUCGAGCCAUCGACGUUUGCCUGUAGUUUUUUUCCUGCAUUGAAAACAUGUUUCUUGGUAAUUAAUAACUAACGAUAUGUAUUCAGCGUAGCUGUCUCACUCAGGUUUUGAUGUACAUUAAUAUCCAUUAAAAUGAUGAGAAUAUUUUCGCCAUCAGACCUAAAUGAAUAAAUGAUAAUUAGGCAUAAGAUAAUAUGAAACUUAUAUCAAUGCAGCAUUACGUUUUGCAAUAAUGUCAACAGGGUGAAAGUAUUUGAUCAAGUAGAAAUGUUAAGCAGCUAAACCAGUUUGUCACUUAUUAAACUGUCAAAAUCACAUUUUUUCUGUUUGCCACGUUAUAUUUACCUGAGAGUUUAUUCUAGAAGGCUUUUUUUCAUACAUACCAAUUAUUAUUGCAUCGCAUUAUGAGCAGUAGUAUAUAUUUUAGCAUAGUAUUGUUCCUUACUGUUUCCUAGCCUGAUAUGCUAAUGAAAACUCAGUCAAAUUUUGUGUGUAAUUGGCAUUAACACAUUAUAAACCAAUGAGUUUUACAUUGGCCGUCUCUUGUUCACUCUCUUUGAAUGCAAAAAUUCAAAAAUUAAUAAAUAGCUUGGCACUUUCAAGAAUUUAAAAGCCAAAAAAGAAACUAAUGUACAAUUAUAUAAACAGAGCUAUGUUUUAAUAAGAAUUUUGAACAUUAUGGCAGAGAGCUAUAGCAUUGUGGCUAUUUGAAGUUUAGAUUUGAAAAUUAUCCUUUCUUUGUUUUCACUUUCGUGCAUAAGAAAGUAUGGAUCUCUGAUAGGUUGAAAUAUAUGAGAAAUCGAUUGAAACUUUCCCAAAUCUUAACUAAGAAAAGGCCUUAACAGAUAUCCAUAUUAGCAUUUGUAAAUUAAUUUUUAUCAUUCUUUCUGAAGACCUUGACUGUUCAAAAUAAUUGUAGUUUCUAUAAAGUAUUUUACGAUCAAACAUGUGCUUUCUUAAAUGGCAUACCUUAGAAAAGGUCAUUAAUAUUUGUUGUUUAUUUGCAACAUCAUUAUCUAAUAAACCAAUGCUGAUUCAACAUCUAUUUAUUAUUUAUAAUAUUGUCUUACGCUUAACCUUAGAAGAACUUAAACGAUAUUGUGUUGAGGUAUUUUUAGGAAUUAUAUAAUUAUGCGAAUAUGAAUUCUUAAUUAGUCACCACUUCAAUGUUAAAGGGAUCUUUUCACGCUUUGGUAAAUUGACAAAAUUGAAAAAAGUUGUUUCAGAUUCGUAAGUUUUCGUUUUAGUUAUGUUAUUUGUGAGAAAACAGUAAUACUGAACAUUAACCAUGCUCUAAUGUAGCCAUUAUAUGCAUCUUUUGACGAUUUUAAAACCUUAAAAUUAUAAAGCGUUGCAACGCGAAACGAUUGAAUAAUUUGGAGAGUUCUGUUUUUGUCGUUAAAUUUUGUGAAACUACGAAGAUUGCUUAUAUAAGGUAUUAAAUACGUCAACAAUGUGUAGUCGGCGGAAUAGCUCAGUAGGCUAAAGCGUUUUUACUUCAGGACUCUGGCAGGACUCCAGGGGUCACUGGUUCGAAACCUGCUCCGGGCAAUGUUCUUUUCCUUUUUUUAAUUUUUUUCUUGAUUUUUUACUGGAGCUUUUAUGAUCCAAUGUUUACAUUUAUCAAUAUGAAGCAUUUAAUGAAUAAGUUAAAAAAAUGCCAAAAUCUGUGAAAAGGCCCCUUUAAUAUAUAUACCGGUAAAAAACCGGUAAAAAACAUUAAUAUUUAUCUGUUGAUCCAAACCUUGAGCAGUUAUUAUGCAAUUCUGGUUCAUUUCCACCGCUUCGUAACAUUGGUUUGGCCUUUGUUUUGUUUCUUAGGUAUUAUUUAAUUAAACAUAUUUUUCGAAGACAAUUACCUGGACAUUUUAUGUUUGGUGAGUGUGUUUGUGCACGAAAAGAUCAUGUAUAUAUGUAUCUAGUUUUUAAAACUUGCCAAGGUUAUCAGGGCUUGCUCUGUCAAUUGCACAAUUAGCCAAUGACUACAAAUUAGCAAAUUUGACUCAAUAAAUUUCCAUUAGGCUUCAACGUUUUGUUCAUAAAACCACAUGAAACAAAUCAAAUUUGGAAAGUUACUGUGUUCUGCGGUAAAUUUGGCUAAAGACAAUUUUGAGCCAGAGUGAGCCCUGUGUUGUGUAACUUUUGUGCCAAAAAUAUGUUAGAUCUUCUAAGCUUUGUAGAUCAAAUACAAUGCUUAACCAAUUGUUCUGAAAUAAAAAUAAUGUAUUAAUUUCUUAGGUUUAAAGAUGUAUGUGUGAUAGUUUAGCAUUCUUUUGUAAGUGUUGUUCGUAGUUUUGUUUACUUUUUUCAGAUCAUUGUUUAUAUGUUAUUGAAACAAGGUAUUUUAAGAAGUUAUAAUAAGAUAACAAACAUAGCAUGGUUACAUUUUGUCUAUAUGUUUGGAAUAAUAAGCACUUUUCUCUACUAAGUUAUUAAAAGUGGUUAUGUUACUGCUUUAAAAAAUUUAUUAAUGAACGCAUGGUCACCCUUUAAGUUUUGGAAGAUUAAUUAAAAUAUUUUCAAAUUCAUGCUUUGGUAGUUUUUUGUUAGUUUAAAUCAUUUAAACGGUUUGUACUUCUUAAUUUUGUGGUUAUGGUAUUUGCGUUUGAAUAUUAUUCUUAUUUAUGUAUGCAGAACUUAAAAUAAAUAUUUACUGAACUG